rnacentral:rRNA from 1 species
GGGGAAUAUUGGACAAUGGGGGCAACCCUGAUCCAGCAAUGCCGCGUGUGUGAAGAAGGUCUUCGGAUUGUAAAGCACUUUCGACGGGGACGAUGAUGACGGUACCCGUAGAAGAAGCCCCGGCUAACUUCGUGCCAGCAGCCGCGGUAAUACGAAGGGGGCUAGCGUUGCUCGGAAUGACUGGGCGUAAAGGGCGUGUAGGCGGUUUACACAGUCAGAUGUGAAAUCCCCGGGCUUAACCUGGGAGCUGCAUUUGAUACGUGUAGACUAGAGUGUGAGAGAGGGUUGUGGAAUUCCCAGUGUAGAGGUGAAAUUCGUAGAUAUUGGGAAGAACACCGGUGGCGAAGGCGGCAACCUGGCUCAUGACUGACGCUGAGGCGCGAAAGCGUGGGGAGCAAACAGGUUAGAUACCCUGGUAGUCCACGCUGUAAA